UAGCUACAGGCUUAACACAUGCAAGUCCUUGGGAAUCAGGAAGAAAGCUUGCUUUCUUUGCUGGAGACCGGCGCACGGGUGAGUAACACGUAUCCAACCUGCCCUUUACUCGGGGAUAGCCUUUCGAAAGAAAGAUUAAUACCCGAUAGCAUAAUGAUUCCGCAUGGUUUCAUUAUUAAAGGAUUCCGGUAAAGGAUGGGGAUGCGUUCCAUUAGGUUGUUGGUGAGGUAACGGCCCACCAAGCCUUCUAUGGAUAGGGGUUCUGAGAGGAAGGUCCCCCACAUUGGAACUGACACACGGUCCAAACUCCUACGGGAGGCAGCAGUGAGGAAUAUUGGUCAAUGGGCGCUAGCCUGAACCAGCCAAGUAGCGUGAAGGAUGAAGGCUCUAUGGGUCGUAAACUUCUUUUAUAUAACAAUAAAGUGCAGUAUGUAUACUGUUUUGUAUGUAUUAUAUGAAUAAGGAUCGGCUAACUCCGUGCCAGCAGCCGCGGUAAUACGGAGGAUCCGAGCGUUAUCCGGAUUUAUUGGGUUUAAAGGGAGCGUACGUGGACUGGUAAGUCAGUUGUGAAAGUUUGCGGCUCAACCGUAAAAUUGCAGCUGAUACUGUCAGUCUUGAGUACAGUAGAGGUGGGCGGAAUUCGUGGUGUAGCGGUGAAAUGCUUAGAUAUCACGAAGAACUCCGAUUGCGAAGGCAGCUCACUGGACUGCAACUGACACUGAUGCUCGAAAGUGUGGGUAUCAAACUGGAUUAGAUACCCUGGUAGUCCACACAGUAAACGAUGAAUACUCGCUGUUUGCGAUAUACAGUAAGCGGCCAAGCGAAAGCAUUAAGUAUUCCACCUGGGGAGUACGCCGGCAACGGUGAAACUCAAAGGAAUUGACGGGGGCCCGCACAAGCGGAGGAACAUGUGGUUUAAUUCGAUGAUACGCGAGGAACCUUACCCGGGCUUAAAUUGCAGUGGAAUGAUGUGGAAACAUGUCAGUGAGCAAUCACCGCUGUGAAGGUGCUGCAUGGUUGUCGUCAGCUCGUGCCGUGAGGUGUCGGCUUAAGUGCCAUAACGAGCGCAACCCUUAUCUUUAGUUACUAACAGGUUAUGCUGAGGACUCUAGAGAGACUGCCGUCGUAAGAUGUGAGGAAGGUGGGGAUGACGUCAAAUCAGCACGGCCCUUACGUCCGGGGCUACACACGUGUUACAAUGGGGGGUACAGAAGGCAGCUAGCGGGUGACCGUAUGCUAAUCCCAAAAUCCUCUCUCAGUUCGGAUCGAAGUCUGCAACCCGACUUCGUGAAGCUGGAUUCGCUAGUAAUCGCGCAUCAGCCACGGCGCGGUGAAUACGUUCCCGGGCCUUGUACACACCGCCCGUCAAGCCAUGGGAGCCGGGGGUACCUGAAGUACGUAACCGCAAGGAUCGUCCUAGGGUAAAAC
rnacentral:rRNA from 1 species